rnacentral:rRNA from 1 species
GACGAACGCUGGCGGCGUGCUUAACACAUGCAAGUCGAACGGAAAGGCUCCAGCUUGCUGGAGUACUCGAGUGGCGAACGGGUGAGUAACACGUGGGUAAUCUGCCCUGCACUCUGGGAUAAGCCUGGGAAACUGGGUCUAAUACUGGAUAUGACCUUUCUCCUUAUGGGGUUUGGUGGAAAGUUUUUCGAUGUAGGAUGAGCCCGCGGCCUAUCAGCUUGUUGGUGGGGUGAUGGCCUACCAAGGCGACGACGGGUAGCCGGCCUGAGAGGGUGAUCGGCCACAUUGGGACUGAGAUACGGCCCAGACUCCUACGGGAGGCAGCAGUGGGGAAUAUUGCACAAUGGGCGGAAGCCUGAUGCAGCGACGCCGCGUGAGGGAUGACGGCCUUCGGGUUGUAAACCUCUUUCAGCAGGGACGAAGCGUAAGUGACGGUACCUGCAGAAGAAGCACCGGCUAACUAUGUG